rnacentral:lncRNA from 1 species
AUUAACGUAAGAUCUUUUCCAGUCUCACUUUUCAAUUUCUAAACACCUCUAAUGAAGAAAAAUUCGCAGGUAAGAGAAAACAUUUCUUAUAAUUCCAAUAAUAAUCUGGUAAUUUUUGAGGCUGAAAAUGAGCCAUUCUUUACGUAAGCUGUAAAGGGACUGUGACAUGAAGCCUUUCAAGUUCAAGGGACCAUGUGAAGUAGGCCAAGAGUUAGGCAUCUGGGAAGAGAGGAGACUGGGGCACCAUGUCAGAUACACGU